rnacentral:lncRNA from 1 species
AAAAAAAUUGUCAACAAUAUUCGGAAUCAAAUUAAGAACGAGAAGAGAUCAUUUAAAUCUGUCUGAGAAGGCUUCCACAAGAAAAAUCAUAAUUCCUAAAUGUACCCGAGUUCCAAGACCAAACACCCAUGGCACCGACUAACCCUAAUCCGCCUCUAUCAGAAGGUCAGAAAUAUUGUACCUUCAAACUUGACUAAAAAAGUAAUUGCAGCUCUCAAUUGGCACCUUCCAAGCCAUUUUUUCUCCAAAAGUCCAAUAUAGCGUGAAUUAAAUAGCUUGCAAGAAAUACCCGUUAUCUAACCAAUUGCUUCGCCAAGAUCAUUAAAGUAUAACUAUAAUAUUAAAAACACAGCUCGCUUUAUUCCAAUGGUAAAUAUAUUUUUUAUAAAUUUAUUUGUGACUUAAAAUAAUUUGAGAGAUUUAUAUUGAAUGAUUCUUCAACGAUUACAGAAGGAUUAUAAAAUCUAUAUUGAACAAAAUCCCCUAAAAUAUAGUUAAAAACAAAAAUUAAAAAAAACACGAGAACAUAUAUAUCCGUUAUCCUAUAUUAAAAUAAAAUCACAAACCUUGCAAAAACAUAAUAUAAAACAAAAAAUUAAGCAUAUUUACAUUAUGCCAUAAUGUAAAAUCAUUAUUUUUCCAUAUAUUUUCGAAAAACAUACCAAAUAAGAAAUAGAAAAACAUCAAGAAGAUUUUCCACUUUUUAAUGUUUUAAAAACAGAAUACUAAAUUACAUUAGAAUGAAAACUUCUUGACAUAAAAGUCUUACCUCAAACAAAUUUCUUUUUUUAUUAUUUUUUAGACUAAAAUACAGUCCCUUAGACAAAUCAAUUCAAAACAGCCCUUACUCUUCCCUAGCCAAGAUAAAAAUGAUAAAACUCAUACCAUUGCGCGAUCCAGCUUAAUUCCUGAAUGCAAUUUGACACCGGUACGAAAAUGUCCAACUCAAGAUGAUAAUCUACGGACAAGAUAGAAGCUAAACCUUGCACAAACCGGCUUUUGACUGAGAAUCCCGCGGUUUGUCGUUCCACACAAAAAACAUUGUCAACAAUAUUGAAUCAAAUUAAGAACGAGAGAAAUCACAUUUAAACUUGUCGAGAAGCUUCAACAAGAAAAUCAAUAAUUAAAUUAAGGUUCCCAAGACAAACACCUGGCUGCACCACUACCCCAAACCUCUUAUAGAAGGUUCUUAGAAAAUUGUACCUUUUCAAACUGACUAAAAAAUUUGCAGCUCCUUUUCUUCAAUUGUGGCAUCUUCCAAUCCAUUGAUUUCCUCCAAAAGUCCAAUAUUAGGACGCCUUACAUAGCUUGCAAGAAAAAACCGUUAUCUAAACCAAUUUGCUUCGCCAAUAUUAAAUACUAGACUAUAUUAAAAAAUAAGCUUUACCAAUUUAAUAUAUUUUUAUAAAUUUUACUUUUGAUUAAAAAUAAUUAAUUGAGUAGCAGUUUCUAUUUAAAGUGAUUUUUUAUUACGAUUAAAAAUAUAAAAAGUAUUUAUUAAGGAAAAAAACAAACAUUAAAUAUUAAAAAAACAUUAAAAAAAACACAGAACCAUUUUAAUUAUCGUUAUUGCUAUAUGUAAAAAAAAAAUCACCAAACUUUGGCAAAACAGAAACAUAUAAAACAAAAAUUUAACAUAUUUACAUUAAUGCCAUUAAUGAAAAAUAAUUAUUUUCCAUAUAUUUUCAAAACACCAAAUAGAAAAGAAAAACAUCAAAAAGAUGUUUUCACUUUUUAAUUUUUCAAAACAUAAUACUAAAAUUAAUUAUGAAAACUCUAUGAUAUAAAAGUCUUAUCAAACAAAUUUUUUAUUUUAUAAUUUUUUAGAACUAAAAUACAAUUCUUAGAAAUCAAUUCAAACAGGCCCUUACUCUCCCUACCAAGAUAAAAUGGAUAAACUAUACCAUGCGAUCCACUUAAUUUUCUGACAAGUUUGAAGGUAUGAUAUGUCCACCUCAAGAAGAUAAUCUACGGACAAGAUAGAAGCUAACCUUGCACAAACCGUUUUGACUGAGAAUCCCGCGGUGUCGUUCCACCAAAAAAAAAUGUCAACAACAUUCGGAAUCAAAUUAAGAAUGAGAAGAAGAUCAUUUAAAUCUGUCUGAGAAGCUUCCACAAGAAAAUCAUAAUUAAAUUGAGGUUCCAAGACCAAACACCAUGGCACCACUACCCCAAAUCCUCUAUAGAAGGUCUAGAAAAUUGUAUCUUUUCAAACUGACUAGAAAAUUGCAGCUUCAAUUGGGCACUUCCAAUCCAUUGAUUUCUCCAAAAGUCAAUAUAGGAACCCUUACAUAGCUUGCAAGAAAACCCAUUACCUAACCAAUUUGCUUCGCCACCCCUAAUACCUAAAGAGACCCUUAGAUACUCAAAUAAAAGAGUUUAAAUAAAUAAUGCCAAAUAAAAGAUAUAAUAGUUUUAAUGAGUCAUCAAAUAUAGACUAUAUUAAAAAAAUAAACUUUACCAAUUUAAAUAUAUUUUUAUAAAUUUACUUCUGAUUAAAAAUAAUUAAUUGAGAGAGUUCUAUAUUAAAGUGGAUUUUUUAUACGAUUAAAAAUAGAUAAAAAGUAUGAUACAGGAAAAAAAAACAUAAAUAUAUUAAAACAAAAUUAAAAAAAACACAGAACAUUAUUAUCGUUAUGCUAUAUUAAAAAAAAUCACAAACUUGCAAAAACAAAAUAUAAAACAAAAAUUUAACAUAUUUACAUUAAUGCCAUUAAUGAAAAAUCAUUN